rnacentral:tRNA from 11 species
GGGUAAGUGGAUAGAGUUUGGGAUUUAGGAUCAGAAAAUAGGGGUUGAAAUCCA